rnacentral:tRNA from 18 species
AAAAUCCGUCGACUUUAGAAAUCGUGAGGGUUCGAGUCCCUCUAUCCCC